UAACACUCCGAAGAGCCACAUUCCCGCCGCCUUUCUCCCCCCAGGCGAACUGAUGCUGGCCUGAGCCCGCCGGAGUGCGCCGCCGACAAGCGACGGUUGAUCCGACGGGCGCAAGUCUGGUCGCAAGCGCUUCCCUUUUAACAAUUUCACGUGCUUUUUAACUCUCUUUUCAAAGUGCUUUUCAUCUUUCGAUCACUCUACUUGUGCGCUAUCGGUCUCUGGCCGGUAUUUAGCUUUAGAAGGGGUUUACCUCCCAUUUUGAGCAGCAUUCCC
rnacentral:misc_RNA from 1 species